CUUUCUAUUUUCUCUCUCUUACCCUCAUCCAAAACCCCUCUCUCCCUCAAUUCCCGAUCUCUAGUUCUAUGGAUUCUCUCUGAUGAUCUCUCACCGAUCUUCUUUUUCGCUUUUCUAAAUUGUCUUUCAUGCGUUUGAUGAUCCAAGCAAGAGGUCGACGAAGAGCUGGUUUUGAGUGAGCGCAGAGUUUUAAGGAGGGAAAGAAAGGUGGCUCUUUCGAAGAGCAGAGGGAGAUAAUGCCUUCGAUACCCAUACAGCUACAGCUCCGUUUGCUUCCAUCUUUGGCUCUCUUUCAUGGUGGAUUGUGUUAUCAUCGUUUGAAACAGCUUGAAAAGCGUGACCGGCGUGGUAAUCUUAGUUAACAUUAGGAACUUUUUCUUCCUAUUUCUCUUCUAUAUUCGCUUCUAGUUCUUUCUCUUUUCGUUCCUUUUGGGUUCUUGCUUUCUGGGUUUCUGCAAUUAGUUGUUAUUUUCGUGAAAAUCGGGUUCGAGAAAUCGGAGAUAGAGAGAUCAUUUGAAGGAUUUGGUUGGACUUGAUAAGAGCUAUUCAGAGACAGCAUAAGAGUUACCUAUUUCUUGUUUGGUGGUGUUAUUGAUGGAAGUUAUCUGUAAUCGAUGUGUGGAUGGUGGUGGUGUUCUGGUAGACGAAAUCCAAAGCAAUUUAAGCAAGUUUGGGCAUUUAGGGGAUGUUCAAGAAACAGAUGCAUCUGAUGGAGACUGUACCAGUGGUGCAGAGGGAUUCCAAGAGCUUGAGCCAUUUGGGCAUGAACCCGUUAAAAAUUCUCUAGAAAAGGCUGUAGCAUUGCCAUCUGAAGAUGAUGAACCUGAAACAGCAUUGCGGCUGCUGUUCUCUGGGGAGCCCAUAAGGCCUGCAUUGCCACUUGUGUCUGCCAUGAAAGGUAGUCGAGAAAAACUGGGAACAUCCCCAAGAAAGCUGUCUGUGACUUGGGCUCCUGAUGUGUAUGAUCCUAUUCCUAAUUCAGUAUCACACUCUGUUACAAGCAAGCAGAGGAAGUCUAGGAAAGAUAAAGGCAAAAAUAGCAACAAUAACCACAAGAAAAAUGGAAAGAAGGGCCAGAAAGGCAACUCAAAAGGAGGAGGUGGUAAAGACAAGAAGCAAUUGCGCAAAACUGGUGGUAGGUCUGAUAAGUGUUAUAAAACACUGAACACUUGUGAUGCCCCAGACCUUGAUGAAUUUGAUGUUGGAAGCCCAGACUACUGUGGAAGUAGCUUCCUGAAAAAAUCCCCCACAACGUUUCACUACCCUGUUGCAGAGGCGUUGUGAAAUCACAUCUUCAUUCUACAUCCUGGUGUUAUGUAAAUAAAUAAAUGUAGCUAUGAAGCUUAUGACUGGAAGAUGUGCUUGUUUGGAUCGGAUGGAAGUAAAAUAUCAGAGGAAUCAAAGCAAGGAAAAAUACUCAGAGAGAAGGAAGGAAAGUCUUAUAUUCUAUUCGGGCCAUUCUCUGCCGUUUAAGGUAACCAAAAAAAUAAAAUUACAUUUUUAACCUUGGUUCUC